rnacentral:rRNA from 1 species
GAUGAACGCUAGCGGCAGGCUUAACACAUGCAAGUCGAGGGGCAGCACGUCUUCGGAUGGUGGCGACCGGCGCACGGGUGCGUAACGCGUAUACAAUCUACCUUUUACAGGGGCAUAGCCCGGGGAAACCCGGAUUAAUAUCCCAUGGUAUGUAGAGAUGGCAUCAUCUCUUCAUUAAAGUUUCGGCGGUAAAAGAUGAGUAUGCGUCCUAUUAGCUAGAUGGUAAGGUAACGGCUUACCAUGGCUACGACAGGUAGGGGUCCUGAGAGGGAGAUCCCCCACACUGGUACUGAGACACGGACCAGACUCCUACGGGAGGCAGCAGUGAGGAAUAUUGGACAAUGGGCGAGAGCCUGAUCCAGCCAUGCCGCGUGCAGGAAGACUGCCCUAUGGGUUGUAAACUGCUUUUAUACGGGAAGAAACACCCCACGUNUGGGGGCUUGACGGUACCGUAUGAAUAAGGAUCGGCUAACUCCGUGCCAGCAGCCGCGGUAAUACGGG